UCUCUUUUCUCCUCUUGUACAUUCUCUUUCACUUCUGCAUGUGGGAGAAGCACGGGAACUACAAUUUCGCAAAAUAGUUUACUUAUUUUGUGAUCCAAUGAAUAAGAUGUCGAAUGGCGAUUCGAUGUCUCUUGGUGCUUUUAACUUAGGGUGACACUCUCUCAUGCACAACAACAUACUUGGAAUCUCCAAUGAAAGUUUCUAUCUCAAUAAUAAGACUAAGUAUCACUAUAUGAAUUUAUUUCCAAAAUAUAAACCGUUCUCAACAUGAAAGAUCUUUACUCUCUUAUUUAAUCCACUUGUUGAUCCAAUGCAAACUCUCUAAUAUGAGAAAAUCAAGAGGAUUUAGUUCCAUUGCAGCCACUAUAGAAAACAAUACUAAAUAAAACAACGCUUCAGCCACAAUAGAUGAUUUACCAUUAAAACAGAAGCAUUGUUGUUGUUAGCAUUGUUUUCUAUUGUGUUUGCAUUGGAACGACGUCCUCUUAGUUUCUCAUAUUGGAUAGUUUGCAUUGGAACAAGAAGUGGAUUAAAUAAGAAAGUAUAUGGUGUUUCAUAUUGAAAACUAUUAUAUAUUUUAGAAAUGAAUUCAUAUAGUAGAAUUCGGUGUUAUUAUUGAAAUAAAAACUUUCAAUUCAUUGGUGAUUCCAACUCUAAAUAUCUUGUUGUUAUGCAUGAGAGAGUGUCACCCUAAGUUAAUAUUUUGGAACUUGUGGCAUGCCAUGGAUGCUACCUAUCAAUCAAAUAAAAGCCAAAUUUCCAAUUUUCCUAUUAUGCUGCUUAAUGCUUGACAGACCCUAAAGAUUAUGUUGAUAACGAUGAUUCAGAUAUAACGACGGUGUUAGAGACCUCAAAGCGUUCACCAAAAGUCGCAGAUGAAAUUUUGUUGGAAGAGGGAGGAAGACGAAGGAAUCUCAAUGAGGAAUACAAAGUGAACUUGGUAGGAUGAUAUUUCUUGAAUGGUUUAAAUUAUAACACCUAAAGAUUAAAAUAAAAAGACAAAGACAAAGGGAAAAAAGACUAUGAAGUAUAAUGAACAAACUGUUACAUAAGCAUGGUCACAAGUACCACAAUCAAUGCAAGUGUUGGACAAACUAUUUAGUCCCACAUUUAGUUUAUGUAAUGAAUGAAGACAAUUAGUUCUAGGUUUAUCAUGUACUUUGUGCUAUGCUAUUUUAUGUGAAAUGAUUAUGUAUGGUUCAAAUGUGAAAACAAGAUGCAAUAUUAAGAUGAAAUGAAAACAAUUUGAGCAAUUUUGUGUGAAA